GGAUGAACGCUGACAGAAUGCUUAACACAUGCAAGUCAACUUGAAUUUGGGUUUUUAACUUAGGUUUGGGUGGCGGACGGGUGAGUAACGCGUAAAGAACUUGCCUCACAGCUAGGGACAACAUUUGGAAACGAAUGCUAAUACCUAAUAUUAUGAUAAUAGGGCAUCCUAUAAUUAUGAAAGCUAUAAGCGCUGUGAGAGAGCUUUGCGUCCCAUUAGCUAGUUGGAGAGGUAACGGCUCACCAAGGCGAUGAUGGGUAGCCGGCCUGAGAGGGUGAUCGGCCACAAGGGGACUGAGACACGGCCCUUACUCCUACGGGAGGCAGCAGUGGGGAAUAUUGGACAAUGGACCGAGAGUCUGAUCCAGCAAUUCUGUGUGCACGAUGAAGUUUUUCGGAAUGUAAAGUGCUUUCAGUUGGGAAGAAACAAAUGACGGUACCAACAGAAGAAGUGACGGCUAAAUACGUG
rnacentral:rRNA from 1 species